UGGCAGGAGAGUGACCAGUGACAUAAGCCUCCCAUGCCAUGCUGAGGCGCUGAGGUGGAUGGAGAUGAACGGGGUGACGUGGCGUCCCUCUUGAAAUCUUGGGGGAUGCAGAGAGAGAAUCAGGCAGGGUGGGGGGCGCUCCGGAUCCUGACUCUGCCUCUGCCUCCCCAGGUCAUCCCCUUCUCCAUCCCCCGGACAGCGUACGCCAUCAAACACUUGUACACAGCGGGGCUGUUUGCUGAUGGAGGGGCCACUCUUCUAGAGAAACUUAUCCCCGAACUAGCCAGCAAUUUGAAGAGAUUCGUGGAGUGGGGUAAGUCUCCCUAGGACCAGCUCCUGCUCACAACGGUUGCCCAUGGGGUGGUGGGAAUUGAGGAGGGGCACGUGGCUACAGUUGGUGUCCACUUAGAGGAGAGCUAUUUAGAUUUUGAACUCUAAUUAGGUUUUGGGAUCAUGCCUGACAUUAGCGUUAGAUUGAGACUUUUGAUUGGCAUUGGCACUUGAUUUGGAGUUAAGAUCUGAAUUACGGCCUGGAGCGGUGGCUCAUGCCUGUACCAGCACUUUGGGAGGCCAAAGUGGGAGGAUUACUUGAGGCCAGGGGUUCAAGACCAGCUAGGACAACAUGAUGAAACCCUGUCUCUACUAAAAGUACAAAAAUGAGCCGGCCGUGGUGGCAUGUGCCUGUAUCCCAACUACUCAGGAGGCUGAGGCACGAGAAUCGCUUGAACUUAGGAGGUAGAGGUUGCAGUGAGCCAAGAUGAUGCCACUGCACUCCAGCCUGGGCGACAGAGAGACUCUGUCUCAAGGAAAAAAAAUAAAAGAUCUGAAUUACGGCUAGGUUGAGGUAAAGUGUGGGGCUGAAGUUGAGAUUAGGUUUUAUUUGGGGAUGGGCUUAAGACCGAGGCUGGGGUUGGAGUUGGUUUGAGUUGGAGUUGGUGUGAAGAUAGAUUUGGAGGUGGGUUGUGACUGAGGCUGGAGUUGGGUGGGGCUAGAGUUAGGGAUAGAAAUGAGGUUGGGAGAGGACUCUGGUAUGGGCUUGGGUUUGCUGUUGGGCUUGGCCUGGUGAGGGUUGGAUUUGAGAUGCUGGGCAGAGUUGGGUUGGCCUGGCCUGAGGGCUAACUGGGUGUCUCAGAUUAGGGUAAGGAGCCUGUGGCCUUUGAGGCAGGCCAUGAGUUCCUGUGCCUGGUAGAAUGAGGGGUAGAUUGACCAGAAGAUGUCUGUUCUUGGUGACCUUGAGCAGGCAAGAUGUCUUGGCCAGGGGACAAGACACAGGGUCACUCCCAGCCCAUCAGCUGAUUUGUAGCCUGCAUUGAGGCCUUGGGUGUCAUGUCCCCAUUUGUAUAAAAGGGGUCCCUCCCAUGCUGACCUUUGAACUUCUCAGAGUCUUUCUCAUUCUCCCAGGACACCAAAGAAACUGUGGGAGCAGCACACAGCAGUGGAG
rnacentral:lncRNA from 1 species